rnacentral:rRNA from 1 species
GAUGAACGCUGGCGGCGUGCCUAAUACAUGCAAGUCGAGCGAACAGACGAGGAGCUUGCUCCUCUGACGUUAGCGGCGGACGGGUGAGUAACACGUGGAUAACCUACCUAUAAGACUGGGAUAACUUCGGGAAACCGGAGCUAAUACCGGAUAAUAUAUUGAACCGCAUGGUUCAAUAGUGAAAGACGGUUUUGCUGUCACUUAUAGAUGGAUCCGCGCCGCAUUAGCUAGUUGGUAAGGUAACGGCUUACCAAGGCAACGAUGCGUAGCCGACCUGUGAGGGUGAUCGGCCACACUGGAACUGAGACACGGUCCAGACUCCUACGGGAGGCAGCAGUAGGGAAUCGUCCGCAAUGGGCGAAAGCCUGACGGAGCAACGCCGCGUGAGUGAUGAAGGUCUUCGGAUCGUAAAACUCUGUUAUUAGGGAAGAACAAAUGUGUAAGUAACUAUGCACGUCUUGACGGUACCUAAUCAGAAAGCCACGGCUAACUACGUG